AGAGUUUGAUCCUGGCUCAGGAUGAACGCUAGCGACAGGCUUAACACAUGCAAGUCGAGGGGCAGCACGAUGUAGCAAUACAUUGGUGGCGACCGGCGCACGGGUGAGUAACGCGUAUGCAACCUACCUAUCAGAGGGGAAUAACCCGGCGAAAGUCGGACUAAUACCGCAUAAAACAGGGGUUCCACAUGGAAAUAUUUGUUAAAGAAUUAUCGCUGAUAGAUGGGCAUGCGUUCCAUUAGAUAGUUGGUGAGGUAACGGCUCACCAAGUCCACGAUGGAUAGGGGUUCUGAGAGGAAGGUCCCCCACACUGGUACUGAGACACGGACCAGACUCCUACGGGAGGCAGCAGUGAGGAAUAUUGGUCAAUGGGCGAGAGCCUGAACCAGCCAAGUCGCGUGAAGGAUGAAGGAUCUAUGGUUUGUAAACUUCUUUUAUAUGGGAAUAAAGUGAGGAACGUGUUCCUUUUUGUAUGUACCAUAUGAAUAAGCAUCGGCUAACUCCGUGCCAGCAGCCGCGGUAAUACGGAGGAUGCGAGCGUUAUCCGGAUUUAUUGGGUUUAAAGGGUGCGUAGGUGGUGAUUUAAGUCAGCGGUGAAAGUUUGUGGCUCAACCAUAAAAUUGCCGUUGAAACUGGGUUACUUGAGUGUGUUUGAGGUAGGCGGAAUGCGUGGUGUAGCGGUGAAAUGCAUAGAUAUCACGCAGAACUCCGAUUGCGAAGGCAGCUUACUAAACCAUAACUGACACUGAAGCACGAAAGCGUGGGGAUCAAACAGGAUUAGAUACCCUGGUAGUCCACGCAGUAAACGAUGAUUACUAGGAGUUUGCGAUACAAUGUAAGCUCUACAGCGAAAGCGUUAAGUAAUCCACCUGGGGAGUACGCCGGCAACGGUGAAACUCAAAGGAAUUGACGGGGGCCC
rnacentral:rRNA from 1 species